CCUACGUGUGGCAGCAGUGGGGAAUAUUGGGCAAUGGAGGGAACCCUGACCCAGCAACGCCGCGUGAGUGAAGAAGUAUUUCGGUAUGUAAAGCUCUGUCAGAAAGGAAGAAAAGAAUGACGGUACCUGACUAAGAAGCCCCGGCUAACUACGUGCCAGCAGCCGCGGUAAUACAUAGGGGGCAAGCGUUAUUCGGAUUUACUGGGGGUAAAGGGAGCGUAGGCGGUUACGCAAGUCAGGAGUGAAAGGCGUGGGCCCAACCCCAGGACUGCUUUGGAAACUGGAUAACUGGAGUGCAGGAGAGGUAAGUGGAAUUCCUAGUGUAGCGGUGAAAUGCGUAGAGAUUAGGAGGAACAUCAGUGGCGAAGGCGGCUUACUGGACUGUAACUGACGUUGAGGCUCGAAAGCGUGGGGAGCAAACAGGAUUAGAUACCCCUGUAGUC
rnacentral:rRNA from 1 species